GCCAGGAAGGACUGGCCCAUUUGCAAACAGAAAUGAGAAGAGGAGGUGGAAGAGAAUCCAGAAGUGUGGAGCCAUCAGGGUUAGAAAAAUUCAUUGCUUCUAUAUUAAAGAACUUUGAAUAGCAAAGGCACAGGAAAACAUCUCAGUUGGACACUGCAAUGUUGAAUCCUUAGCCUAAUCCAGGGCAGGGAUCCUCCCAGUAUCUGUCUCACAGGAAUUAGCUGGUCAGUUCCAUGGAUGGGGCUCCUGUGCAAUAUGGCAAUUGUAUUAUUUCUAUCUCACUCCAGAUGUUGGGUGUGGGGUGGGAGCAGAUAACAUCCCUGUAGCUUAUUGGUUGGUGAAACAAUAAGAUAGUUAUCUGGUCCUGAGGGAGAACACUGCAGGAUGUAGACAUCUUAGAUGCAAUGAUUGAGGGGACUUUGGGUGUCUCCUCAGAGGAGGGGAUGAGUGUGUCUGUGUGUGGGAAGAAGAAUGACAUGGCGUGGUGACCACAGCCUGUGCAGUGGCCGAAACAAUGCCACUGCAUUUCCUUCAGGCACACAGGAAGAGGAUGUUUCCCAGUCUCCUUUGUAGUUGGGUGGGGCUGGCUGUGUUACAAGUUGGGGUUGAUGUAAUACAGGCAAACACUGGUCCAUAAAAAUGACUUUUCAUCACCUCCCAUGGUGACCUUAAAUGAACAUGUUAAGGAUGUCAGUGUCACAGGCUGGAUGCAGCCUAAGUCCCUGAAUGACUACAUGACUCAGA
rnacentral:lncRNA from 1 species